rnacentral:rRNA from 1 species
AUACAGAGGAUGCAAGCGCUAUCCGGAUUUAUUGGGUUUAAAGGGAGCGCAGGCGGAGAUGCAAGCGUGACGUCAAAUUUCGGGGCUCAACCCCGUCUCGCGUCGCGAACUGCGUCCCUUGGUUGCGGGAAGGGGAGGCGGAACUCGUGGUGUAGCGGUGAAAUGCAUAGAUAUCACGAAGAACUCCGAUCGCGAAGGCAGCCUUCCGGCCCGUCAACGACGCUCAUGCUCGAAGGUGCGGGUAUCAAACAGGAUUAGAUACCCUGGUAGUCCGCACAGUAAACGAUGGACACCCGCGGUUUGGCCUGUAUGGCUGAGCCGCCAAGCGAAAGCGUUAAGUGUCCCACCUGGGGAGUACGCUGGCAACGGUGAAACUUAAAGGAAUUGACGGGG